rnacentral:rRNA from 1 species
CAAAGGCCUGGUCCCGACUUUACUAUUAGUUUUAGCCUAAUUUAUACAUGCAAGUAUCCGCACCCCCGUGAGAAUGCCCUCAAUCCUCCGCCCGAGAACGAGGAGCUGGCAUCAGGCACAAUUCUUAGCCCAAAACGCCUUGCUACGCCACACCCCCAAGGGAACUCAGCAGUAAUAAACAUUAAGCCAUAAGUGAAAACUUGACUUAGUUAAGGCUAAGAGGGUCGGUAAAACUCGUGCCAGCCACCGCGGUUAUACGGGAGACCCUAAUUAAUAGACACGGCGUAAAGAGUGGUUUAGGGUAAAAAUUAAUAAAGCCGAAGAUUCCCCCAGCCGUUGAAAGCACUAUGAGAACACGAAGCCCCAUUACGAAAGUAGCUUUACCAAUAUUUUCCUGACCCCACGAAAGCUAAGAAACAAACUGGGAUUAGAUACCCCACUAUG